CGCUGGCGGCACGCCUUAUACAUGCAAGUCGAACGAAGUAGCAAUACUUAGUGGCAGACGGGUGAGUAACAUGUGGGUAUCUUCCCUUUGGUGAGGAAUAACACGAGGAAACUUGUGCUAAUACCUCAUAAGUCUUUACGGAGAAAGCUUUAUGCGCCAAUGGAUGAGCCCGCACUUGAUUAGUUUGUUGGUGGGGUAAUGGCCUACCAAGACUUUGAUCAAUAGCUGAUUUGAGAGGAUGAUCAGCCACAUUGGGACUGAGACACGGCCCAAACUCCUACGGGAGGCAGCAGUAAGGAAUCUUGCACAAUGGAGGAAACUCUGAUGCAGCGAUGCCGCGUGAGUGAAGAAGGCCUUUGGGUUGUAAAGCUCUUUCGUCGGGGAAGAAAAUGACUGUACCCGAAUAAGAAGGUCCGGCUAACUUCGUGCCAGCAGCCGCGGUAAUACGAAGGGACCUAGCGUAGUUCGGAAUUACUGGGCUUAAAGAGUUCGUAGGUGGUUAAAAAAGUUGGUGGUGAAAUCCCAGAGCUUAACUCUGGAACUGCCAUCAAAACUUUUUAGCUAGAGUAUGAUAGAGGAAAGCAGAAUUUCUAGUGUAGAGGUGAAAUUCGUAGAUAUUAGAAAGAAUACCAAUUGCGAAGGCAGCUUUCUGGAUCAUUACUGACACUGAGGAACGAAAGCAUGGGUAGCGAAGAGGAUUAGAUACCCUCGUAGUCCAUGCUGUAAACGAUGUGUGUUAGACGUUGGAAAUUUAUUUUCAGUGUCGCAGCGAAAGCGAUAAACACACCGCCUGGGGAGUACGACC
rnacentral:rRNA from 1 species